GGUCAAAUCACGCUGAAACACCGGUUCUCGUUCGAUCACCGAAGUUAUGCAUCGUAGAGCCGGGUCAGUACUUAGAUGGGGGACCGCUUGGGAACACCUGGUACUGUAAG
rnacentral:rRNA from 1 species